CAGAGAUUACACAAAAUGAAGACUGUAACAUCAUUUAAAAGAAGACGGCAGGGGAAGCUCAGAACUAUGGAAAUCUGAGCAACACAAAGCUCUUCAAGUCCAGGCGCCACACUCCAGCCACCUGCUCCCUUCUACAGAAAAUGAUGGGCUCUCCAUUUUGGUUUUUAGAGUCUAUUCCAUAGAGCAGUGGGUACAUGGGAGAAAAACUGUCCUGGACUGGGUGUCACAUCAUUGCAGUUUGUGAACAUAACAUAACCUUUUCGUUCAAUUGAGGGCCAUGGUGGGCAAGACCAUAUAGCAGCCACAGUGGGCACAAGGCAGGAAACAGCAACAGA